rnacentral:rRNA from 1 species
CCUACGUGGGGCAGCAGUGAGGAAUAUUGGUCAAUGGCCGAGAGGCUGAACCAGCCAAGUCGCGUGAGGGAAGACGGCCCUACGGGUUGUAAACCUCUUUUGUCGGGAGCAAAGCGAACCACGUGUGGUUCAUUGAGAGUACCCGAAGAAAAAGCAUCGGCUAACCCCGUGCCAGCAGCCGCGGUAAUACGGAGGAUGCGAGCGUUAUCCGGAUUUAUUGGGUUAAAAGGGUGCGCAGGCGGAGGUGCAAGUCAGCGGUCAAAUUGCGGGGCUCAACCCCGUACUGCCGUUGAAACUGCAUCCCUUGAGUGCGCGAGAAGUAUGCGGAAUGCGUGGUGUAGCGGUGAAAUGCUUAGAUAUCACGAAGAACCCCGAUUGCGAAGGCAGCUUACUAAACUGUGACUGACAUUGAUGCUCGAAAGUGUGGGUAUCAAACAGGAUUAGAUACCCUAGUAGUC